rnacentral:sRNA from 1 species
GAUCUCCAGUUGAAAACAAUCUUUUGUGUGCCUUUUACACAAAUUUUUUGUUAUGCCUAUUCUGUUGCGAACGCUUCUUCCCACUGUGGGUCGCAAUCUGGUGCAAAGUCGAUCAAAAUCCGUAAUAUUACAGCAGAUGUCCAAGGGAUAUUCGUUGGGACGGACGCUUUGGAAGCGCUGACCAGGGUACCUGUUGCCGUAACUUCUGGCGAUUCCAAAGAACAACCCGUGAUAUGCUGGAUGAUUUAAGGAACUGCCCGAUUCGUGAUGUUCAUUGUUGCCUACAUGUCCUAAAAUUUCAGAGCAUAUUUUAAAUGUACUUCUAUAUAAAUUAAACUCGUUUAAACGGUCGUAUAACUAAAAGGAA